rnacentral:rRNA from 1 species
CGCUAGCGACAGGCCUAACACAUGCAAGUCGGGGGGCAGCACAAGGAGCAAUCUGAGGUGGCGACCAGCGCACGGGUGAGUAACACGUAUGCAACCUGCCUGUAAGCGGGGAAUAACCCGUUGAAAGACGGACUAAUACCGCAUAAUACUAAAUUACUGCAUGGUAAUUUAUUUAAACAUUUAUGGCUUACAGAUGGGCAUGCGCAUGAUUAGCUAGUUGGAGAGGUAACGGCUCCCCAAGGCAACGAUCAUUAGGGGUUCUGAGAGGAAGGUCCCCCACACUGGUACUGAGACACGGACCAGACUCCUACGGGAGGCAGCAGUGAGGAAUAUUGGUCAAUGGACGAGAGUCUGAACCAGCCAAGUCGCGUGCAGGAAGAAUGUCCUAUGGAUUGUAAACUGCUUUUGCAGGGGAAUAAAGUGCAUCACGUGUGAUGUUUUGUAUGUACUCUGCGAAUAAGGAUCGGCUAACUCCGUGCCAGCAGCUGC